rnacentral:rRNA from 1 species
AACGUAGGUGACAAGCGUUAUCCGGAUUUACUGGGCGUAAAGCGCAUGUAGGUGGCGUGGCAAGUUGGAUGUGAAAGCUCCCGGCUUAACUGGGAGAGGUCAUUCAAAACUGCCGGGCUUGAGGUUGGAAGAGGAGAGCGGAAUUCCCGGUGUAGUGGUGGAAUGCGUAGAUAUCGGGAGGAACACAAGUGGCGAAAGCGGCUCUCUGGUUCAAUACUGACACUGAGAUGCGAAAGCGUGGGGAGCGAACGGG